ACCAAAUAAUACAAUAGUAACAACAACAACAAUAGGCGCUACAGCCCGACGUGGGCCUUGGCCUCCUCCACAAUGCGCCUCCAGACGUUGCGAUCCUGGGUCUUGGUUCCCCAUCCAGUGACUCGUAUUGUCCUCAAAUCAUCCAGCAC